CCUAUAGCUCAAUAGGUUAGAGCAGCUGACUCAUAAUCAGCAGGCUACAGGUUCAAGUCCUGUUGGGC
rnacentral:tRNA from 1 species